rnacentral:tRNA from 1 species
GCCGCCUUAGCUCAGUUGGCAGAGCAACGCACUCGUAAUGCGUAGGUCGGGGGUUCGACUCCCCCAGGCGGCUCCA